rnacentral:rRNA from 1 species
AUCGAACGCUGGCGGCGUGCCUAAUACAUGCAAGUCGAGCGAACAGAUGAAGUGCUUGCACUUCUGACGUUAGCGGCGAACGGGUGAGUAACACGUAAGGAAUCUACCUAUAAGCGGGGGAUAACAUUCGGAAACGGGUGCUAAUACCGCAUAAUAUCUUCUUCCGCAUGGAAGAAGAUUGAAAGACGGCUCUGCUGUCACUUAUAGAUGACCUCGCGGUGCAUUAGUUAGUUGGUGGGGUAAUGGCCUACCAAGACGAUGAUGCAUAGCCGACCUGAGAGGGUGAUCGGCCACAUUGGGACUGAGACACGGCCCAAACUCCUACGGGAGGCAGCAGUAGGGAAUCUUCCGCAAUGGGCGAAAGCCUGACGGAGCAAUGCCGCGUGAGUGAAGAAGGCCUUCGGGGCGUAAAACUCUGUUAUAAGAGAAGAACAAAUUGUAGAGUAACUGCUACAGUCUUGACGGUAUCUUAUCAGAAAGCCACGGCUAACUACGUGCCAGCCGCCGCAGUAA